rnacentral:rRNA from 1 species
GUGGGGAAUAUUGGACAAUGGGGGGAACCCUGAUCCAGCCAUGCCGCGUGUGUGAAGAAGGCCUUUUGGUUGUAAAGCACUUUAAGCGAGGAGGAGGCUACCGAGAUUAAUACUCUUGGAUAGUGGACGUUACUCGCAGAAUAAGCACCGGCUAACUCUGUGCCAGCAGCCGCGGUAAUACAGAGGGUGCAAGCGUUAAUCGGAUUUACUGGGCGUAAAGCGCGCGUAGGUGGCCAAUUAAGUCAAAUGUGAAAUCCCCGAGCUUAACUUGGGAAUUGCAUUCGAUACUGGUUGGCUAGAGUAUGGGAGAGGAUGGUAGAAUGCCAGGUGUAGCGGUGAAAUGCGUAGAGAUCUGGAGGAAUACCGAUGGCGAAGGCAGCCAUCUGGCCUAAUACUGACACUGAGGUGCGAAAGCAUGGGGAGCAAACAGGAUUAGAUACCCGAGUAGUCC